rnacentral:tRNA from 1 species
UGGGGGAUAGUUUAAUCGGCAGAACAGUUGACUCUGGAUCAACCAGUUGGGGUUCGAAUCCCUGUCCCCCAGCCU